ACUCACCCCGAAGCAAUUUCAUCGGAGAUGGAUAUCAUUUAUUUAAAACAAAAGGUUGAGUGUGGUGCAGAUUUUAUACUUACUCAAGUUGUGUUUACAAGUGAGCGGUUCAAUGAUUUCGUUCGCAGGUGUAGAGAGGUUGGAAUCACUGUUCCAAUUGUUCCAGGUAUCCUCCUUAUAGAGAAUUCUCAGUCAUUGCGGAAGUUUGCGAACAUAUGUCAGGUCGAAGUUCCCGAGUUGCUACUGAAAGAACUAGAGGAUGUAGAGAAUAGUUCCAGGGACUUCAACAAUGGACGCACAAUGUUGCAGCUCAGAUUGCUCGUGAUAUACUUGAAGCUGGAACAUCUGAUAAGGCUCAUUUCUUCACGAUGAACAGGUGAGUGUAUAAUUGAGUUCAUCAGAGAGAAACCAACCCACAUUAAGUUGAAACUGAGAAAAGAGCGUUUGAAGUUUUAUUCCUGCAUAAGGCCCAAUGUAAAAAAUAAACACUAACCCCUCUUUUCACAAUUUUUUGUUGUUUUUAGACUUUUAGUUUUUGGCAGGGGAAAAUAUACGGUUAGUGAAACUCUAAAGCAUUCUUAUCUCAAUUUUUUCGAAGAUGUAGGUUCCUUUCUGAUAGCCACGGUCUAAUUCUAGUCACUAAUGCCGCACCCCCCUCCCCCUUCCUUCCAAAAAAGGAGGAAUUGGACCCUCUACGAACUUCCUUAGUUGAAGCAACUUCCUCUAAAAUCAAGUUUUUAUCAGGGGAAAUUUCGCAAAAUUCCAAUUUUCACUCGACAUUUUGUCAUACUACGGCAUUACAGAGGAAGAGCCUCAAGUAAUUCCUCCAAGAAUAAAAUUGCGAAUAUUGUGUGGCAUACCUGUAGACUAUUUACAUCUUUCAGUUUGACACUCAUUCAGUGGAUAAACAAAAGAUGAUGCAGAUAAUGCUGCUUGCCAAAAGGAAACGCCUCAGGAAAAAGCGAACUUCGCCAAAUUUCUCCCGAUAAAAAUGCAUUUUUGAAGCGAGUUAUGAAUAUUUUUCCUUGCCAUUUUUAAAUACGUUUGAUUGAAUUGCGAGUAAAAUUCUCUGAAAAUUUCUAAGGAAAACACUCAUUGGUCUUUCAUAAAAUCCAUUCUUCAUAAAAUGACAUUUGACAACGUCCAAGGGCUCAUACGGCGUUCUCUCCCAGACAGUGGCGUGGCGUGAAUGAUCGAUUAUCGAUACCUCGCCAUUUGAAGCUAUGGUAAAGAAUCGAUUACUAAGGUGUUCACUGCGAACACCCUAAUAAUCGAUCUUUUUUCAUAGGUUUGAAUGGCGUAUCGAUCGAUAUAUCGCAAAGCACGCCACGCCACUGCUCCCAGAACGGCAGAGUGAAAGCUAACACUGAAAAGUGAGGAGCGCCAAGAGUUGCUCAUCAAAGCUACCCUCCUGCUUCAUGUUUACUUAAGACGCAUUUGAAUAAAACAACCGAAGGAAAAGAAAGAAAGAGCAAACGGAGUAUGCACUAGAGAGAGAGUUUCUUCUCCUCGCUGUAUUUGUCUUCACUUUAUUUGAGCCCUGAAAUGAGUUUUCAGGUCAACGCAAAGUUAGAAAGAAGUUGUUACAAUCGUACGUUAUGCUCUUUGAGAUUUCUUGCAAUUCUUUCCUUGACAUUGAAGAAUAACUGUUGAGUUAAAAUGUCAACGAUCUCAACUACUGCAUUCGCUUCGAGCGUGAGCCAAUUUUCUUACAUUUUAAUUGAUCGCUUUAAAUUUCUAGGGUUCAAGAAGUUCAAGAAAUGCACUCCAGACUGACUAGUUUAUCGCAAUGUACCUGAGAGGAGGAGGAAAAACUGAUUAGAGGGGCUUCAAGACAGAAUAAUUAAGUGUUCGAGGCACAAUAAAUCAAUCUCUGAAAAAACCAUCACCUAACUAAUGAGAGAUAAACUUCACAAUUGCAAUAUUCUUAAGACCUUGUAUUACACAGAUCUGGUUCUUCUCAAAAGAUGAAUAAACAAUAGGUCUUCAAAACUGAUAUUUUUUGUUCUUUUCAUUGAAUCAUGCAUGGGACCCGCAAAAAACUUCUGGCUUGGUUGGAUACCGAUAGAUAGUCAGGCCAAAAAACCUCAGUAAAUUUCUCUUGAUUUUUGAUAACAGACUAAACCGAAGCCAAGAAAUGGGUGUUUUUGACUUUUUUUGUAAAUCCUGCCGCGUGACUUUUUAGCCGACCGCGCGAACUAGCGAACACGGGAAGCUCUUCAAACAGAAAAUUUGAUUCAACGAUCGGCAGAGGCGGAUUCCCUUCAUUUAAACCUAUGCUAAAUAAUCGAUUCUUGUCGGAGCACCUGGCCCCUCCAAAAAUCGAUACAUUUUCAUGAGUUUAAAUAGAUAUAAAAAACGAUUUUG
rnacentral:lncRNA from 1 species